AACACGCCCACUAAUGUUUGUUAAGUUUCGUUUCUGCCGGAAUUUUCUAAUCCCGCAGUGCAAGGUCGAGGUGAGUGGCAGCGGUAGACGGCAGUGAGCCAGGAUGCAGGCUGUUCGAGUGAAAUACAGAGAUCAACAAAAAUACCUGUUUUGAGGGCCAAACCUACACAUUGUUUUUGGAAAGUGCUUCCAAGAAGUUCAGCAUCCCAACCUUGGACAAAGAGUCGUUGAUGACACAAAGACUGAGGUUGAUGAAGAGGUCUUUGAUUUCCU